GAUGAACGCUGGCGGCGUGCCUAAUACAUGCAAGUCGAGCGAACGGACGAGAAGCUUGCUUCUCUGAUGUUAGCGGCGGACGGGUGAGUAACACGUGGAUAACCUACCUAUAAGACUGGGAUAACUUCGGGAAACCGUAGCUAAUACCGGAUAAUAUUUUGAACCGCAUGGUUCAAAAGUGAAAGACGGUCUUGCUGUCACUUAUAGAUGGAUCCGCGCUGCAUCAGCUAGUUGGUAAGGUAACGGCUUACCAAGGCAACGAUGCAUAGCCGACCUGAGAGGGUGAUCGGCCACACUGGAACUGAGACACGGUCCAGACUCCUACGGGAGGCAGCAGUAGGGAAUCUUCCGCAAUGGGCGAAAGCCUGACGGAGCAACGCCGCGUGAGUGAUGAAGGUCUUCGGAUCGUAAAACUCUGUUAUUAGGGAAGAACAUAUGUGUAAGUAACUGUGCACAUCUUGACGGUACCUAAUCAGAAAGCCACAGCUAACUACGUG
rnacentral:rRNA from 1 species